rnacentral:rRNA from 1 species
AUUGAACGCUGGCGGCAGGCCUAACACAUGCAAGUCGAGCGGCGCGGCGGACGGGUGAGUAAUGCCUAGGACUCUGCAUGGUAGUGGGGGAUAACGUCAGGAAACGGGAGCUAAUACUGCAUACUAUCAGAGGAGCCUAGGCCGUAUUAGCUAGUUGGGGGGGUAAAGGCCUACCAAGGCGACGAUCCGUAACUGGUCUGAGAGGAUGAUCAGUCACACUGGAACUGAGACACGGUCCAGACUCCUACGGGAGGCAGCAGUGGGGAAUAUUGGACAAUGGGCGAAAGCCUGAUCCAGCCAUGCCGCGUGUGUGAAGAAGGUCUUCGGAUUGUAAAGCACUUUAAGUUGGGAGGCGUUACCAACAGAAUAAGCACCGGCUAACUUCGUGCCAGCAGCCGCGGUAAUAC